rnacentral:lncRNA from 1 species
AUGAUCCCAAACCCAACGGGACCCCAGACUCAGGAGACCCCAACCCCAUGUUGGGGUGACGGAGACCCCAACCCCAACGGGGUCCCGUGUUGGGUUGAUGGAGACCCCAACCCCAAUAGGGUCCCAUGUUGGAUUGAUGGAGACCCCAACCCAAAUGGGGUCCUGUGUUGGGUUGAUGGAGACCCCAACCCCAACGGGGUCCCACGUUGGCUUGACGGAGACCCAACCUCAACGGGGUCUCGUGUUGGGCUGACGGAGCCCCCAACCCCCCGUGCCCCCCAUCCGACGCCCCCCGCCCGCAGCUCAGUCCCAGUCGGUGGGCUCACAGAUGCUGAGCGGGGCGGCGUUGCGGCGCCCGGCGCGGAUGCCGGGGUAGAAGAGCGGCCAUAUUUUCUCGGUGAAGGUGUCGGUGAAGGUGUAGAGGUGCGAGCGGUCGGUGACGUUGUAGAAGGAAACCUCCCCCGCCUCGUAGUCCACGAAGACCCCCACCCUGGUGGGCUUCACCCUGGGGCUGAGGGGGGUGAAGGGGGCGGUGGUGGCGGCGUAGCGAUCGCCGUUCCAAAGCCGGACCCUCCAAAAUCCGCUCUCGGGCAGCGCCGCCGGCUCCCCGUUGCGACACACCGAGUCCCCGCAGACCCCCAGCGCCCAGUGGGUUUUGUGGCCCACCUCCACCUCCCAGUAAUGGCGGCCCGACGUGAAGCCCCUGGAGCCCAGCACGCACGGGUAGGUGGUGAAGCGGCGGCUGCUGGCCGCCAGGUGGCGCUGGCGGCUCUCGAUGAAACGGACGCUUUUCCGGUCGGGGGAUAAAAGGAGGUUGGGGUGCGCGGUGUCGGGGUCCAG